UUAGAUGCGAGAGUAGAGCAUAUCAAUAAGCGGAGGAAAAGAAACUAACAAGGAUUCCCUUAGUAACGGCGAGUGAAGCGGGAAGAGCUCAAAUUUGAAAUCUUCAAGGUUUUACCUUGACGAAUUGUAGUUUAAAGAAGUGUUUUCUGUUGGAGUUUUGGUAAAAGUUCCUUGGAAUAGGACAUCAUAGAGGGUGAGAAUCCCGUAUUUGACUAUUCUUUCUAGCUUUGUGAUACACUUUCAAAGAGUCGGAUUGUUUGGGAAUGCAGUCCAAAAUGGGUGGUAAAUUUCAUCUAAAGCUAAAUAUUGGCGAGAGACCGAUAGCGAACAAGUACCGUGAGGGAAAGAUGAAAAGAACUUUGAAAAGAGAGUUAAACAGUACGUGAAAUUGUCAAAAGGGAAGCGUUUGACACCAGUGUUGUUUUCUCGAAAAUCAAUUAAAAAUGAGUGGGAUUUUGUGUUGUAUUGACCUUUAUCAGCUUUCUGCACUCUUUUCCUGUCUUUUUUAAUGCACUUUUCGUUUAACAAGUCAACAUCAAUUUCUUUUGUUGUAAAAGGGUCAUUGGAAGGUGGCUUUCUUUUCGGAGAAAGUGUUUAUAGCCUUUUAGCCUCUGCAAUCGGAGAGAUUGAGGUCUGCAGCGUAGAUCCUUCGGGGUUAGAUACAUUUGUGCUAAGUUAUAGCUUUUCAUAGACAACUUGUUGACUAUGAUUAGUCAUUGUAGCUUACUCGCUUAUCGCUAUUUUACCUACGCUUAGGAUGUUGAAGAUGUAGCACAUCAU
rnacentral:rRNA from 1 species